ensembl:lncRNA
UGUCAGUACCACACGGGACUGGUUUCGGGUUUUCACAUUUAUUGUUUUGUAGUUUGUUCAUGUAUAGUUUUUCUUAUUAAAAAACCAUGAACUUCAACCACGCUGCGUAUUGGUCUGCCUCUCCUUCGACGGAUGAAGCCCGUUACAGGAGAUCAUCAAAUCAUCCUGACCAGUUCACAAAGACCUCAGAGGUUCCUCCAGGCAAAGAAUGUGAGCUACUGGUCUCCAGACAGACACACAGAGAGUCACCCCAACUGACAGACAGUAUCAGUCAGUCCGGGACAGGUCUGAGAACCAGGACAGCAUCGCUCAGUCACCACGCAUCCUGUGUGUGCAGACACACACCCUACUCUGGACCAACACAGCCAGGAUCCAAACAGCCAUGAAUCUCAGAACCCACAGAGAGAACUAGAGAAGGAGGCAGCUCUGCAGCCCUCAGCCACCCCAGAGGAGACUCAGGGCCCUACACCACCCCCACCAGAUCAUAGCCAUGCUCAGAGCCCUGCACCACCCCCACCAGAUCAUAGCCAGGUUCAGAGCCCUGCACCACCCCCACCAGAUCCUAGCCAGGCUCAUAGCCCUACAUCACCCCCACCAGAUCAUAGCCAGGCUCAUAGCCCUGCACCACCCCCACCAGAUCAUAGCCAGGUUCAUAGCCCUGCACCACCCCCACCAGAUCAUAGCCAGGUUCAUAGCCCUGCACCACCCCCACCAGAUCAUAGCCAGGCUCAGAGCCCUGCACCACCCCCACCAGAUCAUGGCCAGGCUCCGAGCCCUGCACCACCCCCACCAGAUCAUGGCCAGGCUCCGAGCCCUGCACCACCCCCACCAGAUCACAGCCAGGCUCAGAGCCCUACACCACUCCCACCAGAUCACAGCCAGGCUCAGAGCCCUACACCACUCCCACCAGAUCACAGCCAGGCUCAGAGCCCUACACCACUCCCACCAGAUCACAGCCAGGCUCAGAGCCCUACACCACUCCCACCAGAUCAUAACCAGGCUCAGAGCCCUACACCACUCCCACCAGAUCAUAACCAGGCUCAGAGCCCUACACCACUCCCACCAGAUCACAGCCAGGCUCCGAGCCCUGCACCACCCCCACCAGAUCAUGGCCAGGCUCAGCCCUGCACCACUCCCACCAGAUCACAGCCAGGCUCAGAGCCCUACACCACUCCCACCAGAUCACAACCAGGCUCAGAGCCCUACACCACUCCCACCAGAUCAUAGCCAGGCUCAGAGCCCUGCACCACCCCCCACCAGAUCAUAGCCAGGCUCCGAGCCCUGCACCACCCCCACCAGAUCAUGGCCAGGCUCCGAGCCCUGCACCACUCCCACCAGAUCACAGCCAGGCUCAGAGCCCUACACCACUCCCACCAGAUCACAACCAGGCUCAGAGCCCUACACCACUCCCACCAGAUCAUAGCCAGGCUCAGAGCCCUGCACCACCCCCACCAGAUCAUAGCCAGGCUCAGAGCCCUGCACCACCUUAGAGGUACAGCUGGAGCAGCUCCAGAAAACAGACACAGCUCUUCAGACAUACAGACAGAUGAAAUAAUCUCCCAUGGCAGACAGGUCCAGCAGCAGAGGAACACACGCCCACUGAACACUGUCUCACAAAAUCUACUCAUUGGACUACAUUAAAUCAUUAUGCACUUCCAUUUUUUAAAUUAAAGAACACAUUCCAUAUUGCUUCUAGACAAUGAGAAUAAGCAGCCUGGUUUCAUAGACUAGACGUAACAGAGUACAUGCAAUUUUUAAUUUAAAAAAAAUGUAUUUCACCUUUAUUUAACCAGUUAAGCUAGUUGAGAACAAGUUCUCAUUUACAACUGCGACCUGGCCAAGAUAAAGCAAAUCAGUGCGACACAAACAACAACACAGAGUUACACAUGGAAUAAACAAGCAUACAGUCAACACAAUAGAAAAAAAGAAAGUCUAUAUACAGUCUGCAAAUGGCGUGAGGAGGUAAGGCACUAAAUAGGCCACAGUAGCGAAGUAAUUACAAUUUAGCAGAUUAACACUGGAGUGAUAAAUGAGCAGAUGAUGAUGUCAAGUAGUGUGCAAAAGAGCAGAAAAGUAAAUAAAAACAAUAUGGGUAUGAUGUAGGUAGAUUCGGUGGGCUAUUUACAGAUGGGCUAUGUACAGCUGCAGCGAACGGUUAGCUACUCAGAUAGCUG